CUAUUCUUCAAGCUGGGAAGACGUACUCUUAUUCUCGCCUGGGAGACGCCAACUUGAACAUGUGCUUCAAGUUUCAAAGAUUUCACAAAGGUUUAAGAAUUUGACCAGAAGUGUACCAAAACAUAAGCGAGUGUUGGUUGUUUACAGCUGUGGGACAGACCUCAGCCUUUGAUAAACGAAAUACCAAGCAAAAUAACAACAGCUUGAUAUGAAUGAAAGCUGAAUAGGAAUCCAUUCAGCUGUGCAACACCUGUUUUGGAAUACAAAGCACAACAUGAUUCUUAAAUAGGAGUCCAACGGUCACCAGAACAUGUGUUACAACAUAUUUGCUGCCACUGAUGGACAUGAUUUUAAUGAACCAGCAUUGGAGGAGGAGACAUUGUGACAGCUACAAUACUGUGGUCCUCUGAAAUAGGAAAAGGCUAGACUGUCCCUCUGUUAUUUCAU